AGGUUGUCAUUGUCACUUUUUUCCACUGCUCCAUUCUCUGAUUUGGCCUUAAUAUAAUAUUUUGGACCUAUUUUAGUUUCAUUCUUCUUUUUUAUUUUUUCCUUUUUCCUUUUUCAACUAAAGAACCAGAGAUUGGUUUGAUAAAAAUUUUAAUAUUUGACUUUUUCACCAGCUAGCUAAUUAUUUUAGCUACUUGGUGAAAGACCUCAAAUAUUAGCCCUUCACCGGGUAGCUAAUUUUAAUGUGUGUGCUCUUCAAUUUUGACUGGCCAAUUUAUUUUGAGAAGCACUAAAAACAUCUCUCCAAUUAACUUCUUACACAGAUAUUUUCUCCUGUACAUAUUUCAUUUUUUCACUGUUCUAUUCGAUCCCUUUGUCCUACACAGCACCAUCAACAUAUCCCCUCCCUGCGCCCCGGCCCCCACCACCACCCACACAUACACCUCUCACUGUGCUACUUCAUUCACAUGAUCCUUUUUUUAAAACAGCUGAAGGAACUGCAGUAGCUGAAACCCCCAAAUCAGGUCUAUAAGGCUGAGCUCACAUAGAUUAUGGAAUAUUGCUCUCUUGAUGCCUGGGUCAUCGUGCUUGCGCUAGUCCAUUAAACUGUUUGCUUAUGGUGCAAUGUUGGAAACAUAUGUAACCAUCUGCAAAGAGUGAAUUUAAGAACUUCUCAUGUCUACCUUUGGAGAACCGAUGGAAGAACCAGAGAAACCAGACACUCUUUGGGAGGAAAAGCAGCUGUAUUGGAGAUAGCUUAUUUAACAUCACCUCAUUGGGUGCACUGUUACAUUUUAUGUACCAUUAUAAACUAUCUUACCGUGCACUUUUGUGCAGCGACAGAGGCAAGAUCUCUAUUGUUGUAUUUCCUGCCCUAGUGUUGUAUCCAGUCAAUACUUUCUCUUCGAGUUUUAUCAUAUGUUUGAUUUUGUUUGGCUAGUGAUGGCUUUGGGAGUA